UUGGUUCUAAAAAUUCGAGUGCUCGAUA
rnacentral:piRNA from 1 species